rnacentral:lncRNA from 1 species
AUAUUAAUUAUCGUAUAAAUAAUAAAUUUGCCGUUUAACAGAGUUUGAUCAAUUAGAUUAAACAGUUAAUCGAGCAGUAUCGAUUAAUCAGCUUAGCGGAACUAGUGUAAAAAUGCAGUUUGGUAUAAAACGUUGUCGUACUCUAAAUACACGGAGAUACGGAGACGAUUGGAUCGAAUGCAUUUCAGCUUUUAUAAAUAUAAAGCACCACUUAUCAGGCCUAUUAUUCAAAAUUUAUUUGGCUUCUGCAUUUGUUUUGCCGUAUUGGAUAAUUCCAAUGACAUCGUUAAGAUUCUAUUUUGUUUUCUGCCACUCCAGAGCAAUUCAGCCAAUUGAUUGUUCUUCUAUUUAGAACAAUGAAUAUCCAAUCAAUGGUAAUCACCCUGUGUUGACAGCUAUCUCUGUGUUUCUCUUGUUGACCCCACGCACACGCACACACACACAUACACACUUCAAUUCGGUUGAUUUUCAAACGAUUUCGAAUUAUCUACGAC